rnacentral:rRNA from 1 species
UGGGGAAUAUUGCACAAUUGGCGAAAGCCUGAUGCAGCGACGCCGCGUGAGGGAUGACGGCCUUCGGGUUGUAAACCUCUUUCAGCAGGGACGAAGCGCAAGUGACGGUACCUGCAGAAGAAGCACCGGCUAACUACGUGCCAGCAGCCGCGGUAAUACGUAGGGUGCAAGCGUUGUCCGGAAUUACUGGGCGUAAAGAGUUCGUAGGCGGUUUGUCGCGUCGUUUGUGAAAACCAGCAGCUCAACUGCUGGCUUGCAGGCGAUACGGGCAGACUUGAGUACUGCAGGGGAGGCUGGAAUUCCUGGUGUAGCGGUGAAAUGCGCAGAUAUCAGGAGGAACACCGGUGGCGAAGGCGGGUCUCUGGGCAGUAACUGACGCUGAGGAACGAAAGCGUGGGUAGCGAACAGG